rnacentral:rRNA from 1 species
AUUGAACGCUGGCGGCAGGCCUAACACAUGCAAGUCGAGCGAGUGGCGGACGGGUGAGUAAUGUAUGGGGAUCUGCCCGAUGGCGGGGGAUAACUACUGGAAACGGUGGCUAAUACCGCAUACUAUAGGAUGAGCCCAUAUGGGAUUAGCUAGUUGGUGGGGUAAAGGCUCACCAAGGCGACGAUCUCUAGCUGGUCUGAGAGGAUGACCAGCCACACUGGGACGGAGACACGGCCCAGACUCCUACGGGAGGCAGCAGUGGGGAAUAUUGCACAAUGGGCUCAAGCCUGAUGCAGCCAUGCCGCGUGUAUGAAGAAGGCCUUAGGGUUGUAAAGUUCUUUCAGCGGGGAGGCGUUACCCGCAGAAGAAGCACCGGCUAACUCCGUGCCAGCCGCCGCGGUAAUUC